rnacentral:rRNA from 1 species
UACGUAGGUGGCGAGCGUUGUCCGGAUUUACUGGGCGUAAAGAGCGCGCAGGCGGUCGUACAAGUCGCGUGUGAAAGCCCCCGGCUCAACUGGGGAGGGUCACGCGAUACUGUUCGACUCGAAGGCAGGAGAGGGUAGUGGAAUUCCCGGUGUAGUGGUGAAAUGCGUAGAUAUCGGGAGGAACACCAGUGGCGAAGGCGACUACCUGGCCUGUUCUUGACGCUGAGGCGCGAAAGCUAGGGUAGCAAAC